AGCCGCAAUUGUGCUAAGGUAGCAUAAUCAUUUGUCCUUUAAAUAAGGACUAGAACAAAAGAUUUAACAAUUUUAAUACUUUAUUAUAUCUAGAUAUCCAAAAUAUUCCAAACGUAAAAAAACAUUUAUUCAAAAGAAAGACGACAAGACCCUAUCGAACUUAACUUAAGUUAAACUGGGGUAGUAAAUCAAUUAUCAUUUUAAUUUUAAAAUCUAGAAAAAAAUCCAAAAACCUUAAUAAUCAAGUUACCGCAGGGAUAACAGCGCAAUUAUAUUCUAAAGUUCUCAUAAAAAAUAUAGAUUACGACCUCGAUGUUGAAUUAAUAACCUAAUUAAAGCAAAAAAUAAAAAAGGAAGUCUGUUCGACUUUUAAAAAAUUACAUGAUUUGAGUUCAGACCGGUGUAAGCCAGGUCGGCUUCUAUCUUCUCAAAAACUUUUACAGUACGAAAGGACCUAAUAGAAUAAUUUAAUUUAUUAAUUGGCAGAAAAAUGCAUUAGAAUUAGAAUCUAACAAAACUAAC
rnacentral:rRNA from 1 species